UGCUGGAGGUAUCAGAAGUGCGAAUGCUGACAUAAGUAACGAUAAAGCGGGUGAAAAGCCCGCUCGCCGGAAGACCAAGGGUUCCUGUCCAACGUUAAUCGGGGCAGGGUGAGUCGACCCCUAAGGCGAGGCCGAAAGGCGUAGUCGAUGGGAAACGGGUUAAUAUUCCCGUACUUGGUGUUACUGCGAAGGGGGGACGGAGAAGGCUAUGUUGGCCGGGCGACGGUUGUCCCGGUUUAAGCGUGUAGGUGUGUGUUCCAGGUAAAUCCGGUUCACUUUAACACUGAGGCGUGACGACGAGGCACUACGGUGCUGAAGCAACAAAUGCCCUGCUUCCAGGAAAAGCCUCUAAGCAUCAGGUAACACGAAAUCGUACCCCAAACCGACACAGGUGGUCAGGUAGAGAAUACCAAGGCGCUUGAGAGAACUCGGGUGAAGGAACUAGGCAAAAUGGUGCCGUAACUUCGGGAGAAGGCACGCUGACACGUAGGUGAAGUGAUUUACUCAUGGAGCUGAAGUCAGUCGAAGAUACCAGCUGGCUGCAACUGUUUAUUAAAAACACAGCACUGUGCAAACACGAAAGUGGACGUAUACGGUGUGACGCCUGCCCGGUGCCGGAAGGUUAAUUGAUGGGGUCAGCGCAAGCGAAGCUCCUGAUCGAAGCCCCGGUAAACGGCGGCCGUAACUAUAACGGUCCUAAGGUAGCGAAAUUCCUUGUCGGGUAAGUUCCGACCUGCACGAAUGGCGUAAUGAUGGCCAGGCUGUCUCCACCCGAGACUCAGUGAAAUUGAACUCGCUGUGAAGAUGCAGUGUACCCGCGGCAAGACGGAAAGACCCCGUGAACCUUUACUAUAGCUUGACACUGAACAUUGAGCCUUGAUGUGUAGGAUAGGUGGGAGGCUUUGAAGCGUGGACGCCAGUCUGCGUGGAGCCGACCUUGAAAUACCACCCUUUAAUGUUUGAUGUUCUAACGUGGACCCGUAAUCCGGGUUGCGGACAGUGUCUGGUGGGUAGUUUGACUGGGGCGGUCUCCUCCUAAAGAGUAACGGAGGAGCACGAAGGUUGGCUAAUCCUGGUCGGACAUCAGGAGGUUAGUGCAAUGGCAUAAGCCAGCUUGACUGCGAGCGUGACGGCGCGAGCAGGUGCGAAAGCAGGUCAUAGUGAUCCGGUGGUUCUGAAUGGAAGGGCCAUCGCUCAACGGAUAAAAGGUACUCCGGGGAUAACAGGCUGAUACCGCCCAAGAGUUCAUAUCGACGGCGGUGUUUGGCACCUCGAUGUCGGCUCAUCACAUCCUGGGGCUGAAGUAGGUCCCAAGGGUAUGGCUGUUCGCCAUUUAAAGUGGUACGCGAGCUGGGUUUAGAACGUCGUGAGACAGUUCGGUCCCUAUCUGCCGUGGGCGCUGGAGAACUGAGGGGGGCUGCUCCUAGUACGAGAGGACCGGAGUGGACGCAUCACUGGUGUUCGGGUUGUCAUGCCAAUGGCACUGCCCGGUAGCUAAAUGCGGAAGAGAUAAGUGCUGAAAGCAUCUAAGCACGAAACUUGCCCCGAGAUGAGUUCUCCCUGAGACUUAGAGUCUCCUGAAGGAACGUUGAAGACGACGACGUUGAUAGGCCGGGUGUGUAAGCGCAGCGAUGCGUUGAGCUAACCGGUACUAAUGAACCGUGAGGCUUAACCUUACAACGCCGAAG
rnacentral:rRNA from 1 species